GACGAACGCUGGCGGCGUGCUUAACACAUGCAAGUCGAACGGAAAGGCCCUGCUUUUGUGGGGUGCUCGAGUGGCGAACGGGUGAGGAACACGUGAGUAACCUGCCCUUGACUUUGGGAUAACUUCAGGAAACUGGGGCUAAUACCGGAUAGGAGCUCCUGCUGCAUGGUGGGGGUUGGAAAGUUUCGGCGGUUGGGGAUGGACUCGCGGCUUAUCAGCUUGUUGGUGGGGUAGUGGCUUACCAAGGCUUUGACGGGUAGCCGGCCUGAGAGGGUGACCGGCCACAUUGGGACUGAGAGACGGCCCAGACUGCUACGGGAGGCAGCAGUGGGGAAUAUUGCACAAUGGGCGGAAGCCUGAUGCAGCAACGCCGCGUGCGGGAUGACGGCCUUCGGGUUGUAAACCGCUUUCGCCUGUGACGAAGCGUGAGUGACGGUAAUGGGUAAAGAAGCACCGGCUAACUACGUG
rnacentral:rRNA from 1 species